rnacentral:rRNA from 1 species
AUUGAACGCUAGCGGCAUGCUUUACACAUGCAAGUCGGACGAGUGGCGGACGGGUGAGUAACAUAUCGGAACGUACCGAGUAAUGGGGGAUAACUAAUCGAAAGAGUAGCUAAUACCGCAUAUUAUUCGAGCGGCCGAUAUCUGAUUAGCUGGUUGGUGGGGUAAAGGCCCACCAAGGCGACGAUCAGUAGCGGGUCUGAGAGGAUGAUCCGCCACACUGGGACUGAGACACGGCCCAGACUCCUACGGGAGGCAGCAGUGGGGAAUUUUGGACAAUGGGCGCAAGCCUGAUCCAGCCAUCCCGCGUGUAUGAAGAAGGCCUUCGGGUUGUAAAGGACUUUUGUCAGGGAAGCGGUACCUGCAGAAUAAGCACCGGCUAACUACGUGCCAGCAGCCGCGGUAAUAC